GAUGAACGCUGGCGGCGUGCUUAACACAUGCGAGUCGAACGGAAAGUCUCCUGCUUGCAGGGGUACUCGAGUGGCGAAAGGGUGAGUAACACGAGGGUGAUCUGCCCUGCACUUCGGGAUAAGCCUGGGAAACUGGGUCUACUACCGGAUAGGACGAUGGUUUGGAUACCAUUGGGGACCGUUUUUUCGGUGUGGGAUGAGCGCGCGGCCUAUCGUCUUUUUGGUGGGGUGAUGGCAUACCAAGGCGUCGACGGGUAGCCGGCAUGAGAGGGUGUACGGCCACAUUGGGACUGAGAUACGGCCCAGAAUCCAACGGGAGGCAGCAGUGGGGAAUAUUGCACAAUGGGCGCAAGCCUGAUGCAGCGACGCCGCGUGGGGGAUGACGGCCUUCGGGUUGUAAACUCCUUUCGCUAGGGACGAAGCGCAAGUGACGGUACCUGGAGAAGAAGCACCGGCUAACUACGUG
rnacentral:rRNA from 1 species